rfam:Gossypium hirsutum cultivar TM-1 chromosome 8, whole genome shotgun sequence
AGCCCAUGGUGAAGGCAUCUUCUCAAGAGGCCCUUAUAUCUCUCCCAUGCAACAUAGAGUGUCUCUAGAUCCAUCUGCAUAAAAGAAGAGAUAUCAUUCCUAAAUUU